GUAAGGAAUUUUCCGCAAUGGGCGAAAGCCUGACGGAGCGACGCCGUGUGUGUGAUGAAGUCUUUCGGGAUGUAAAGCACUGUCAGUGGGGACGAUAUUGACGGUACCCACAGAGGAAGGCCCGGCUAACUACGUGCCAGCAGCCGCGGUAAUACGUAGGGGCCAAGCGUUGUCCGGAAUCAUUGGGCGUAAAGGGCGUGUAGGCGGCCCGGUAAGUCAGAUGUUAAAUCCACAGGCUCAACUUGUGGCUGCAUCUGAUACUGCCAGGCUAGAGAAUGGUAGAGGAAAGCGGAACUUACGGUGUAGCGGUGAAAUGCGUAGAUAUCGUAAGGAACACCAGUGGCGAAGGCGGCUUUCUGGGCCAUUUCUGACGCUGAGGCGCGAAAGCCAGGGGAGCAAACGGGAUUAGAAACCCGGGUAGUCC
rnacentral:rRNA from 1 species